GACGAACGCUGGCGGCGUGCUUAACACAUGCAAGUCGAACGGAAAGGCCCUGCUUUUGUGGGGUGCUCGAGUGGCGAACGGGUGAGUAACACGUGAGUAACCUGCCCUUGACUUUGGGAUAACUUCAGGAAACUGGGGCUAAUACCGGAUAGGAGCUCCUGCUGCAUGGUGGGGGUUGGAAAGUUUCGGCGGCUGGGGAUGGACUCGCGGCUUAUCAGCUUGAUGGUGGGGUAGUGGUUUACCAAGGCUUUGACGGGUAGCCGGCCUGAGAGGGUGACCGGCCACAUUGGGACUGAGGUGCGGCCCAGACUGCUACGGGAGGCAGCAGUGGGAGAUAGUGCACGAUGGGCGGAAGCCUGAUGCAGCAACGCCGCGUGGGGGAUGACGGCCUUCGGGUUGUAACCCGCUUUCGCCUGUGACGAAGCGUGAGUGACGGUAAUGGGUAAAGAAGCACCGGCUAACUACGUG
rnacentral:rRNA from 1 species